CACAUCGGUCAUCCAACAAUCCUUUCAUUUCUACUCUCUUCAGCUGAGUUGAUUCAGCAGCGAAAGCCCUCAAACCAAUGUCAGGGGUUUUGGAUGCUUUGGCAUCCUAUGUUACCAACAUGCUCGCCGACAUGGCGACAAAAGAGGUGGCCAUGCUCAUCGGUGUGUCCGGCGAGAUCAACACGCUGGACAUCAAGCUGAAGGACCUCAAGAACUUCCUUGCAGAUGCUGAUCGGAGGAACAUCACAGAUGAGAGUGUGCGGGGGUGGGUGGGGGAACUGAAGCGUGCCAUGUAUCUGGCCACCGACAUCAUCGACCUAUGUCAGCUCAAGGCCAUGGAGCAGGGUCCAUCCAAGAGCAUGGGAUGCCUUAACCCACUCCUCUUCUGCAUGCGAAACCCCCUCCACGCCCACGACAUCGGCACCCGCAUCAAGGAACUGAAUGAGAAGUUGGAUAGCAUUUGCAAGAGAGGACGUAGUUUCGACUUCGUCAAGCUGGAAGCCUACCAAGACAUGAAGAGGACUCGAUCUCCCGCCACUGACCGCAAAACGGAUUCAUUGAUGGAUCGGUCAGGUGCUGUCGGCGAGAAGAUAGAGGAUGACACAAGAGCACUUGUGGAGGUGCUUACUAGGGAGGUGGACGGUGACAAGACUGAUCACCUCAUGGUAGUGGCCAUCGUUGGUGUCGGCGGGAUUGGCAAGACCACCCUCGGCAAGAAGAUCUUCAAUGACGAGGCUGUCAAAGGUAAAUUCACUAAGCAGAUAUGGCUUAGCAUCACACAGGAUUUCAGUGGUGUUGAGCUGUUAAGUAAAUCCAUUACUGCUGCUGGGGGAGACCUGCCUGGUGGAGGUGCAGCUCGAGACGACAAGGACCUACUUGUUCGUGCUCUCAUGAAUACCAUCAAGGAUAAGAAGUUCUUUCUUGUGCUGGAUGACAUGUGGAGCGUCGAUGCAUGGAAUAAACAUCUAAUGACUCCCUUUGGCUAUGGUGGCCGUGGAAGUCGAGUACUCAUCACCACAAGACAUGAGCCUGUUGCUCGGAGCAUGAAAGCUGUGCACCACCACCACAUUGACAGGUUAGGGCCUGAAGAUGCAUGGUCAUUGCUCAAGAGGCAGGUACUCACAACAGAGGAAAACGGGCAUGAGGUUGAUGUGCUAAAGGAUCUUGGCUUGCAAAUUCUUGCAAAAUGUGAUGGUUUACCACUUGCUAUUAAAGUGAUGGGUGGACUUCUAUGCAAUAAGGAAAAAUCACGGCGUGAUUGGGAAGAUAUCUUGCAUGAUGAUAUAUGGUCAGUAUCUCCAAUGUCAGAUGACCUAAACUAUGCAAUAUAUCUUAGUUACCAGGACAUGUCCCCUCACUUAAAACAAUGCUUCCUGCACUUCUCACUUAAACCCAAGAAGGUAGUGCUAUCUAUCAAUGAAAUCGUGUCAAUGUGGAUUUGUGAAGGAUUGGUUCAAGGAGGCUCAAACAGUUUGGAAGAGGAAGGGGAAAAGAACUACAAAGAGCUAAUAUUAAGAAACCUUAUAGAGGUAGAUCCAAAAUUCCCUAGCCAACUUUUUUGCAACAUGCAUGAUGUCAUUCGUUCAUUUGCUCAAUUUAUGGCUAGGGAUGAAACACUAGUAGCUCAUAAUGCAGAUAUUGCUAUAAAAACCCUUAAAUCAUCCAAUUUUCUAAGAUUAUCUAUAGAGACCAGAGGAGUGGGAUCAGAUGAAUUUGAGUGGAGAUAUUUAAGAGAGCAGAAAUUGCUUAGGACACUAAUAUUAACUGGAAACCUCAAAACUGAGCCUGGUGAUUUGUUGAUUAACUUCCCAAGUCUACGUCUUCUACACGUAGAAUCUGCAAAUAUUUCUGCACUAGUUGAAGGUGUGUACCAACUCAAGCACUUGAGAUAUUUGGCAUUAAACAAGAUUGAUAUGUGUAGCCUGCCCGAGAACAUCCAUGAGAUGAAAUACCUAGAACAUAUUAGCCUUGAAUGUUGUGAGAGUUUUGUGAAACUUCCUGAUAGCAUUGUCAAGCUGCAAGGGCUGAGAUUUCUUGAUAUUGAUGGCACACGUGUAAGCUGUAUUCCUAGGGGUUUCCGGGCUCUUACAAAUUUGAGGGUACUAUGUGGGUUUCCAGCCUAUAUUGAUGGUGACUGGUGUAGUUUGGAGGAGUUGGGGCCUCUUUCCCAACUCCAUUGCCUUUCACUAAAGAGUCUGGAAAAUAUAUCUAGUGCCUUGUUGGCCGCAAAGGCAAAUCUAAAUACAAAGAAAUACCUUACCAAACUUGAAUUAAGAUGUGGCGGCCGAGUGGGAGGAGGAGUCUCUGAGUCUAAGGAGGAGGAGCAAAUAAUUGAGGCGGUGUUUGAUGCGUUUUGUCCUCAGCCUUGCAUAGAACAAAUCAUCAUAGAAAGAUAUUUUGGCCGCCGGCUCCCAGGAUGGAUGGCGUCCACAGCUAUGGUGCCUCUCCAGAGCUUGAAGCUUCUAUGCCUCGAACACCUGCCCUGCUGCACCCAGCUCCCGGAUGGCUUGUGUCGGCUCCCUUAUUUGGAGUGGCUAAAAGUGAUGUAUGCUCCAGUUAUCAAGUGUGUCGGCCCUGAAUUCGUCCAACAAUACAAUCAGCUGCACCGUCCUUCAUCUCAGUUGGCUGCUACGUUUCCCAAACUCCGGGAGUUGGAAUUUUAUGGAAUGGAGGAAUGGGACGAGUGGGUUUGGGAGACGGAAGUGAAAGCUAUGCCCUUCUUGGAUGAACUUCGUAUCAGUUGCUGCAAACUGGGUCGUAUGCCUCCAGGACUUAUGUCCCAUGCAACGGCUUUGAAGAAGCUAGUAAUAUGGAACGUCCAACGUCUCCCCUCUCUAGAGAACUUUGUCUCUGUAGUUGAGCUCGACCUGUAUAACAUACCCGAGCUGGCCAUCAUCUCCAAUCUUCCAAAAUUACAAAAGCUUGAAAUCGAGUACUGCCCAAAGCUCGAGACUCUGCAGCAGAUGGCUGCACUCCGGAGACUCGAGCUGAGAGUUUUCAGCUGGGAAGAUCAACUUCCCGUGUACCUGCAGACUGUAAAGCCUAGUCAUUUGCUGCUGACGUGCAACCUGGUAGUACUCACGUCCAUGGCUGAGGGUGAAUCUAGCUCCGAGUGGGACAAGUUCAGUCAUAUCAAGCAGGUCGAGGCUUAUGCAAAGGAUGGAGGAGACGAGAAGAAAUGGCACGUGCUCUACACAUCUGAAUCCGGCAACAUACAGACAAACAUUCAUCAGAAUCGAUUGGUGGAAGAAGAGGACUAGGCCGCAACGCGAGCGGAACGAGGACCAUAUGACGCAUGGAUAUACGUAUGUAUGCCCAAUUAAAUCAAGGAGGCCUCCACUUCUUCCUCUGACUAUCAAGGACUUGUCCAUGCGCAUCUCUGGGGAAAGGUUCUAUCGCACCAAACUCUAUGAAAUUAGAGCUCAGUUCUAUUGCCACACUUGAUAUAUAAGCAAGACCGCUAUAAGCUCUACUGCAAUUUAUAGAUAAGAGUAACGUUUUGUAUGGUUGAUUUGUAUUAUUAUGGUACCGUAACUCUAUUAAUUUGGUCCUGGAAGAACUAUAUAUUAUUAACGUUUUGUAUGGUUGAUUUGUA